rnacentral:rRNA from 1 species
UACGAAGGGGGCUAGCGUUGUUCGGAAUUACUGGGCGUAAAGCGAACGUAGGCGGUGUUCCAUGUCAGAGGUGAAAGCCUGGGGCUCAACUCCAGAAUUGCCUUUGAAACGGGAACGCUUGAGUCCGAGAGAGGAUGGCGGAAUUCCUAGUGUAGAGGUGAAAUUCGUAGAUAUUCGCAAGAACACCAGUGGCGAAGGCGGCUCACUGGCCCGGUACUGACGCUGAGGUGCGAAAGCGUGGGGAGCAAACAGG